UGUAACGUAGCUCAAUUGGUGGAGCGCUGCACUGUUAAUGCAGUGGUUGCGAGUUCGAGUCUCGUCGUUACAG
rnacentral:tRNA from 1 species